AGUUAAUUUAUUUAACCCAAGUGUCUUAGGGGUGCCUGCAAAUAUUUCCCAAGCUGCAUGUGUCUUAACUAAAAGGCAACUCACCUGACAGCUUUGCAUAGUUGCACCUUAGCAUUACUGCUCUAUCCAAUCCAUAAUACAUUCUGUUUACAAUAGUUAUCAGUUUGUUUGCUUUGAUUUUAGCUAAAAGAGCUGAAGAUUUAUCUCUCUGUCAGAGUUGGUAGAAAUCUAAGAGUCUGGUCCAAACCAUAAGCUUUCUGCUUAAUCUUCUGGAAACUUCCCAGUUUUCCUUGAAUAUCUCCAAGCAGCUGAUAUUGUACCUCCACUGCAUGGAGGGGGGAUUUUUUCUUUUUCUUGAUUAGUUCAGCUGACAAGGUCAACAGGAAAUUAAAAAGGAAGAAUAUACAUUCAGAACAACUAUGCUACCUUAUAUGCAGAGUUAUUAAGGGAAGG
rnacentral:lncRNA from 1 species